rnacentral:rRNA from 1 species
AGUGGACGCUGGCGGUAGGCCUAACACAUGCAAGUCGAACGGCAGCACAGUAAGAGCUUGCUCUUACGGGUGGCGAGUGGCGGACGGGUGAGGAAUACAUCGGAAUCUACUUUUUCGUGGGGGAUAACGUAGGGAAACUUACGCUAAUACCGCAUACGACCUACGGGUGAAAGCAGGGGAUCUUCGGACCUUGCGCGAUUGAAUGAGCCGAUGUCGGAUUAGCUAGUUGGCGGGGUAAAGGCCCACCAAGGCGACGAUCCGUAGCUGGUCUGAGAGGAUGAUCAGCCACACUGGAACUGAGACACGGUCCAGACUCCUACGGGAGGCAGCAGUGGGGAAUAUUGGACAAUGGGCGCAAGCCUGAUCCAGCCAUACCGCGUGGGUGAAGAAGGCCUUCGGGUUGUAAAGCCCUUUUGUUGGGAAAGAAAAGCAGCAGGUUAAUACCCCGCUGUUCUGACGGUACCCAAAGAAUAAGCAUCGGCUAACUUCGUG